CCCGCUGAACUUAAGCAUAUCAAUAAGCGGAGGAAAAGAAACCAACAGGGAUUGCCUCAGUAACGGCGAGUGAAGCGGCAACAGCUCAAAUUUGAAAGCUGGCUCUUUUAGGGCCCGCGUUGUAAUUUGUAGAGGAUGCUUCGGGUGCGGCGCUGGUCUAAGUUCUUUGGAACAAGACGUCAUAGAGGGUGAGAAUCCCGUAUGUGACUGGCUGCCUGUGCCUGUGUGAAGCUCCUUCGACGAGUCGAGUUGUUUGGGAAUGCAGCUCAAAAUGGGUGGUGUACUUCAUCUAAAGCUAAAUAUUGGCCAGAGACCGAUAGCGCACAAGUAGAGUGAUCGAAAGAUGAAAAGCACUUUGGAAAGAGAGUUAAACAGUACGUGAAAUUGUUGAAAGGGAAGCGCUUGCAAUCAGACUUGCGCGGCGUCGAUCAACCUGGGUUCUCCCUGGUGCACUCGGCGCUGCUCAGGCCAGCAUCAGUUUCGGCGGUUGGAUAAAGGCCUAGGGAACGUGGGUUACUUCGGUGACUGUUAUAGCCCUAGGUGCAAUGCAGCCUGCUGGGACUGAGGACCGCGCUUCAGCUAGGAUGCUGGCGUAAUGGUUGUAAGCGACCCGUCUUGAAACACGG
rnacentral:rRNA from 1 species